GACAGAGGAUGCAAGCAUUAUCCGGAAUGAUUGGGCGUAAAGCGUCUGUAGGUGGCUUUUCAAGUCUGCCGUCAAAUCCCAGGGCUCAACCCUGGACAGGCAGUGGAAACUAACAAGCUGGAGUACGGUAGGGGCAGAGGGAAUUUCCGGUGGAGCGGUGAAAUGCAUUGAGAUCGGAAAGAACACCAACGACAAAAAGCACUCUGCUGGGCCGACACUGACACUAAGAGACGAAAGCUAGGGGAGCAAAUGGG
rnacentral:rRNA from 1 species